AAUUCCAAGCUUCGCGGCCUAUCAGCUUGUUGGUGGGGUAGUGGCUUACCAAGGCUUUGACGGGUGGCCGGCCUGAGAGGGUGACCGGCCACAUUGGGACUGAGAUACGGCCCAGACUCCUACGGGAGGCAGCAGUGGGGAAUAUUGCACAAUGGGCGGAAGCCUGAUGCAGCAACGCCGCGUGCGGGAUGACGGCCUUCGGGUUGUAAACCGCUUUCGCCUGUGACGAAGCGUGAGUGACGGUAAUGGGUAAAGAAGCACCGGCUAACUACGUGCCAGCAGCCGCGGUGAUACGUAGGGUGCGAGCGUUGUCCGGAUUUAUUGGGCGUAAAGGGCUCGUAGGUGGUUGAUCGCGUCGGAAGUGUAAUCUUGGGGCUUAACCCUGAGCGUGCUUUCGAUACGGGUUGACUUGAGGAAGGUAGGGGAGAAUGGAAUUCCUGGUGGAGCGGUGGAAUGCGCAGAUAUCAGGAGGAACACCAGUGGCGAAGGCGGUUCUCUGGGCCUUUCCUGACGCUGAGGAGCGAAAGCGUGGGGAGCGAACAGGCUUAGAUACCCUGGUAGUCCACGCUGUAAACGGUGGGUACUAGGUGUGGGGUCCAUUCCACGGGUUCCGUGCCGUAGCUAACGCUUUAAGUACCCCGCCUGGGGAGUACGGAGAUCU
rnacentral:rRNA from 1 species